AUUGAACGCUGGCGGCAUGCUUUACACAUGCAAGUCGAGCGGCAGCGCGGGGGCAACCCUGGCGGCGAGCGGCGAACGGGUGAGUAAUGCAUCGGAACGUGUCACGUAGUGGGGGAUAACGCCGGGAAACCGGCGCUAAUACCGCAUAUGCUCUCCGGAGGAAAGGGGGGCACCCGCAAGGGCCUCCCGCUAUGGGAGCGGCCGAGGUCCGAUUAGCUUGUUGGUGAGGUAAAGGCUUACCAAGGCGACGAUCGAUAGCUGGCCUGAGAGGAUGAUCAGCCACACUGGGACUGAGACACGGCCCAGACUCCUACGGGAGGCAGCAGUGGGGAAUUUUGGACAAUGGGGGCAACCCUGAUCCAGCCGUGCCGCGUGCGGGAAGAAGGCCUUCGGGUUGUAAACCGCUUUUGUCCGGAAAGAAAAGGCAUUCCCUAAUACGGGGUGUUCUUGGCGGUACCGGAAGAAUAAGCACCGGCUAACUACGUGCCAGCCGCCGCCGUAA
rnacentral:rRNA from 1 species